rnacentral:tRNA from 1 species
GCCUGGGUGGCUCAGUCGGUUAAGCAUCCGACUUCAGCUCAGAUCGUGAUCUCAUGGCUUGUGGGUUCGAGUCCCACGUUGGGCU